rnacentral:rRNA from 1 species
UUCUGGCUCAGGAUGAACGCUGGCGGCGUGCAUAACACAUCAAGUCGAACGGUGAAGUACCUUCGGGUGCGGAUCAGUGGCGGACGGGUGAGUAACGCGUGAGCAACCUGCCGUAUAGUGGGGGAUAACACAGGGAAACUUGUGCUAAUACCGCAUGACACACGGAGAUCGCAUGGUAUCUGUGUCAAAGAUUAAUUGCUGUACGAUGGGCUCGCGUAUGAUUAGACAGUUGGCAGGGUAACGGCCUACCAAAUCAACGAUCAUUAGCCGAACUGAGAGGUUGAACGGCCACAUUGGAACUGAGAAACGGUCCAGACUCCUACGGGAGGCAGCAGUGGGGAAUAUUGGGCAAUGGGCGAAAGCCUGACCCAAGCGACGCCGCGUGAGGGAAGAAGGUCUUCGGAUUGUAAACCUCUUUCAGCAGGGAAGAAAAGAUGACGGUACCUGCAGAAGAAGUCACGGCUAACUACGUGCCAGCCGCUGC